GCGGCUUAUUUGACUCAACACGGGGAAACCUCACCAGGCCCGGACACCGGAAGGAUUGACAGAUUGAGAGCUCUUUCUUGAUUCGGUGGGUGGUGGUGCAUGGCCGUUCUUAGUUCGUGGAUCGAUCUGUCUGGUUAAUUCCGAUAACGAACGAGACUCUAGCCUACUAACUAGGCGUAUUUUCGACAUCCUAAAGGUCCGCCUGCCCGAUGUGGCUACGGUCCGUCGGUGCUGUGCGCGAUUUUUACUGUCGGCGUACAAUAAAUUCUUCUUAGAGGGACAGGUGGCUAUUAGUCGCACGAGAUUGAGCAAUAACAGGUCUGUGAUGCCCUUAGAUGUUCUGGGCCGCACGCGCGCUACACUGAAGGAAUCAGCGUGUCUUCCCUGGCCGAGCGGUCCGGGUAAUCCGCUGAACCUCCUUCGUGCUAGGGAUUGGGGCUUGCAAUUGUUCCCCAUGAACGAGGAAUUCCCAGUAAGCGCGAGUCAUAAGCUUGCGUUGAUUAAGUCCCUGCCCUUUGUACACACCGCCCGUCGCUACUACCGAUUGAAUGAUUUAGUGAGGUCUUCGGACCGGUACGCGGCGGCGUUUCGACGUCGCCGAUGUUGCUGGGAAGAUGACCAAACUUGAUUAUUUAGAGGAAGUAAAAGUCGUAACAAGGUUUCCGUAGGUGAACCUGCGGAAGGAUCAUUAACGUAUCAAGCUACAACCUAGCUGGUCGUUUUGAUUAGCAGUGUCGCAUAGAGCUUAGUUGUUAGUAGGGUGUGCACAAGCCCAAAAACAACUAAUGUCUCUGACACGUUCGGUCUGAUAUCGUUCCGUAUCGCGUGAAUCGAGAAGCAAUCAUUCAACGACAAGCAUAAUGUUUUGAGAGUAUUCGGGUGGUACGUAAAGUUUAAUGAUGUUCGCCACACGUCUUGAGAUUAUUAAGCUUCGUCGGGUUGCCACCUCGGCCCUGCGGGCGAUUCUUUCCAAACACAUUUGAACGCAUUGCAACUUCGUCGUGCGCAUUGUCAUUGCGACAUUGUCGACUCGUGUCGUUGCUAUCGUGCUUUACGUUUUCAAUGUAACGUAAGCGCAAUCUUAAAGAGAGUAUAAACUAUACCUAACGAGUUCGUUAGUAGUGCACAAGUGCGAUGGACAGCAUAUUAGAGGACGCGUCUGUACGUUUCGAGUAUUCGUGCCGAUCGCUGGCGAUACGAAUGUUACGCGCCUGAUGUCCCGUUGUCGUCAUUGAAACAUCGUGCAUGCACAAAAGCGUCUUGUAUACAAAAAUACAACCUUAAACGGUGGAUCACUCGGCUCGUGGGUCGAUGAAGAACGCAGCAAAUUGCGCGUCAACUUGUGAACUGCAGGACACAUGAACAUCGACAAUUCGAACGCACAUUGCGGUCCUUGAAUACUGUUUCUGGACCACUCCUGGCUGAGGGUCGUUUCCAUAUAUACGACUGUCCGGUUUUGUGAUUCGAUUCGUCGUCUCUGAAACGUCGGGACUAGUUGGAGGUUCGUACGUCGCAAGACGUGCGUCUUCUUAAAUACUCGUUUGCGCCCAGGUCCGUGCGCCAAUUUUUGGCAAUCGCGGCGGGAAUCACGCAUUCGAUUCUAUCUGUCAGGCUCGGUAUCCACUGUAAAUUGCAUGUGAUUUGCGCGCACGCACAACGCAAGUUGUGUUUUGCUAUCGCAGCGAUCGUCUGCAUAUACGUUGGGCCAAGUCCGUCGCGUCCAAGACGACUGUGUCUAGUGACGACGGAGCAGCUUGGUUUCCAGUACGGCGGCGGAACGACACGCUUUGCUGAGCAGUUAGGUGCAUCAGCGCGUUUCGCAGUGCAUUUAUGAUAAGCGUUACCGACCGCUCAAUUGGCAGAAGAACAUGAGAUUCGUCUCAAACACGCGACCUCAGAGCAGGUGAGACUACCCGCCGAAUUUAAGCAUAUUAAUAAGCGGAGGAAAAGAAACUAACUAGGAUUCCCUUAGUAACGGCGAGCGAACAGGGAAAAGCCCAGCACUGAAUCGCGCGGCCCACGGGGACGCUGCGAAAUGUAGUGUUUGGGAGGGUCCGCUAUUCCGCGGUUUGGCGAUGCGUCCAAGUCCUUCUUGAACGGGGCCACUUACCCAUAGAGGGUGCCAGGCCCGUAGUGACCAUUGCCGGCUACGGAAGGAUCUCUCCUUAGAGUCGGGUUGCUUGAGAGUGCAGCCCUAAGUGGGUGGUAAACUCCAUCUAAGGCUAAAUAUAACCACGAGACCGAUAGCGAACAAGUACCGUGAGGGAAAGUUGAAAAGAACUUUGAAGAGAGAGUUCAAUAGUACGUGAAACCGUUUAGGGGUAAACCUGAGAAACCCGAAAGUUCGAACGGGGAGAUUCAGCGCGUCUCGGUUUGCGCGAGUGCCGUUUGGUAGACGAAUGCCGUUCGCGGUAGUCGCUCCUUACGCGCGCCGCUGCUUGUCGAACGCGUGCACUUCUCCUUUAGUAGGACGUCGCGACCCGUUGGGUGUCGGUCUUAGGCUUGCGGUGGAGCCCGUUCGUUCGUUUACGUUCGUUCGGACCCGCGAUGUCCCGGCCGACUGCUCGACGGUAGAACGAAGGCGCAGAGCCGCGACUAGCUCGCGUUCGGCUCGAUGCAAGCGCGAACGGUUACUCGAUCGUCGGACUUGUGCCGAUCUCGGGGCCGUUUGGCUGUUGGUGUCGAUGCUCCCGGACAGACUCUGUACACGCCUGUCAGCGGCGCUAUAGCUUUGGGUACUUUCAGGACCCGUCUUGAAACACGGACCAAGGAGUCUAGCAUGUGCGCGAGUCAUUGGGACUAACGAAUCCUAAAGGCGAAAUGAAAGUAAAGGCAGAGCCUGGCUCGGCCAAGGGAAGAUGGGUGGCUUUUGUCGCCUCGCACUCCCGGGGCGUCUCGUUCUCAUUGCGAGAAGAGGCGCACCUAGAGCGUACACGCUGGUACCCGAAAGAUGGUGAACUAUGCCUGGUCAGGACGAAGUCAGGGGAAACCCUGAUGGAGGUCCGUAGCGAUUCUGACGUGCAAAUCGAUCGUCGGAACUGGGUAUAGCGGCGAAAGACUAAUCGAACC
rnacentral:rRNA from 1 species